rnacentral:tRNA from 1 species
GUGCCUGUGGCUGAAAGGAGGAGAGCACUGGCCCCAUAUGCCAGAGGUGGUGGGUUCAAACCCAGCCCAGGCCA